UAAAUAUACCGAUGAAAAAACGAACUUAGCCCACUUCACCCCGCUCUAUUUGAACAACAUGAGUUAAACCACUAACCUUGCAGUAUAUUAUAUAGACGGGAUGGGCCAGUUCAUAAAACGAACAGUUCGCAUAUCGAACACAGAAAACUAAAUCCCAGGGUCUUCGGAUCAUAAGCCGCACAAUACUUAAAAAAUAAAAUAUGUGAUUCUAUGCUCCCUUCGUUUUUUAGAGUUUUGGGUUUCUGAUACUAUAUUAUUGAAAGGUUUUUCCCUUCGUUGCACAACGCGUGGAUGGAACCAAAAUUUUAGCUACACCUGUAUAUGUGUGUAUAUAAUAUUCGAAUACAUAUAUAUAAAAUACUUUUGGCGGCCUCUUGGUAAUAAUAAAAUUUUGGAAAAACACAAUAAGUAAUUUUUAACAAAACCUGUAGAAAUUAUUAACAAAUCUCUGUAUUUUCUAUUCCUCAAUCCAGAGGCACGAACGGCUAAAACGUAACGCUAAUUUGUAUAUUUGUGCAAGACAGUCCAUCACUAGGUGCAGGUGUCGUCCCUAGAUUACCACAGGCCAGACAAAGCAACGGCAUCGGAAACCUACACAUGCACACGAAUAUACAAAGUACGGGGAGCGCAGAACCAAAGCGAAUGAAGCCGAAAGCGGACAGAGAGAGAGCGCCGACAGCGAAACAGAUAGGAGCAGCAGAUUCAGCAAGCGGGCAUAAGUCGAUCUGCAAGAGCGAGAGGGAAGAACGACAGAGGCUCGGAAUCAACGCUGCCUCAGCCGGCUGGAGCAGUGCAUCGCUUCCUCAACGUCGUCGUUACCUAUGUAUGUAUAAAAUCGAGGCAUCAGGCCAUUCUCGCAUUUAUUUUUGGAGCUUGCGCAGAGAGCUUAGAGAAGAAGAACGAUGUGUUUUAAGUAGACGCUAUUUGCUUGUUAGAUUAAGGAACUUACUGUAAGAGAGAGUACCGUAAGAGCUGUUAAGAAAUUAUUUAGUAAGAAACGAUUCUCGAUAAAACAAAUUUAGGAAUACGUUAUACAUUUUCAAAAUUUUGUACAGCAGCACAAAAUAAAUACUAGUACUAGAUCGAUAAAUACAA